rnacentral:rRNA from 1 species
GACGUAGGAGGCGAGCGUUGUCCGGAUUCAUUGGGCGUAAAGAGCACGCAGGCGGUUCGCAAGUCGGAUGUGAAAACCAGAAGCUCAACUUCUGGCGUGCAUCCGAAACUGCCGGACAGAGGUAGGUAGGGGAGAUCGGAAUUCCUGGUGUAGCGGUGAAAUGCGUAGAUAUCGAGAGGAACACCUGCGGCGAAGGCGGGUUGCUGGGCCGACACUGACGUGAUGCGCGAAAG